rnacentral:rRNA from 1 species
GGCGAUGAAGGGCGUGCUAAUCUGCGAUAAGCGCCGGUAAGGUGAUAUGAACCGUUAUAACCGGCGAUACCCGAAUGGGGAAACCCAGUGUGAUUCGUCACACUAUCAUUAACUGAAUCCAUAGGUUAAUGAGGCGAACCGGGGGAACUGAAACAUCUAAGUACCCCGAGGAAAAGAAAUCAACCGAGAUUCCCCCAGUAGCGGCGAGCGAACGGGGAGGAGCCCAGAGCCUGAAUCAGCAUGUGUGUUAGUGGAAGCGUCUGGAAAGGCGCGCGAUACAGGGUGACAGCCCCGUACACAAAAGCGCAUGUGCUGUGAGCUCGAUGAGUAGGGCGGGACACGUGGUAUCCUGUCUGAAUAUGGGGGGACCAUCCUCCAAGGCUAAAUACUCCUGACUGACCGAUAGUGAACCAGUACCGUGAGGGAAAGGCGAAAAGAACCCCGGCGAGGGGAGUGAAAAAGAACCUGAAACCGUGUACGUACAAGCAGUGGGAGNNNNNNNNNNNNNNNNNNNNNNNNNNNGGGCGUUAAGUUGCAGGGUAUAGACCCGAAACCCGGUGAUCUAGCCAUGGGCAGGUUGAAGGUUGGGUAACACUAACUGGAGGACCGAACCGACUAAUGUUGAAAAAUUAGCGGAUGACCUGUGGCUGGGGGUGAAAGGCCAAUCAAACCGGGAGAUAGCUGGUUCUCCCCGAAAGCUAUUUAGGUAGCGCCUCGUGAAUUCAUCUCCGGGGGUAGAGCACUGUUUCGGCUAGGGGGCCAUCCCGGCUUACCAACCCGAUGCAAACUGCGAAUACCGGAGAAUGUUAUCACGGGAGACACACGGCGGGUGCUAACGUCCGUCGUGAAGAGGGAAACAACCCAGACCGCCAGCUAAGGUCCCAAAGUCAUGGUUAAGUGGGAAACGAUGUGGGAAGGCCCAGACAGCCAGGAUGUUGGCUUAGAAGCAGCCAUCAUUUAAAGAAAGCGUAAUAGCUCACUGGUCGAGUCGGCCUGCGCGGAAGAUGUAACGGGGCUAAACCAUGCACCGAAGCUGCGGCAGCGAACGUAUCACCCAAGACAACUUUACGGAGUUGACGAUUGACGGAGCGAAGCGACGUCAAAGCGUUCAUUAAAGUCGAGUUGGCUUAGGGAUACGUUCGUUGGGUAGGGGAGCGUUCUGUAAGCCUGUGAAGGUGUGUCGUGAGGCAUGCUGGAGGUAUCAGAAGUGCGAAUGCUGACAUAAGUAACGAUAAAGCGGGUGAAAAGCCCGCUCGCCGGAAGACCAAGGGUUCCUGUCCAACGUUAAUCGGGGCAGGGUGAGUCGACCCCUAAGGCGAGGCCGAAAGGCGUAGUCGAUGGGAAACGGGUUAAUAUUCCCGUACUUGGUGUUACUGCGAAGGGGGGACGGAGAAGGCUAUGUUGGCCGGGCGACGGUUGUCCCGGUUUAAGCGUGUAGGUGUGUGUUCCAGGUAAAUCCGGUUCACUUUAACACUGAGGCGUGACGACGAGGCACUACGGUGCUGAAGCAACAAAUGCCCUGCUUCCAGGAAAAGCCUCUAAGCAUCAGGUAACANNNNNNNNNNNNNNNNNNNNGGAGCUGAAGUCAGUCGAAGAUACCAGCUGGCUGCAACUGUUUAUUAAAAACACAGCACUGUGCAAACACGAAAGUGGACGUAUACGGUGUGACGCCUGCCCGGUGCCGGAAGGUUAAUUGAUGGGGUCAGCGCAAGCGAAGCUCCUGAUCGAAGCCCCGGUAAACGGCGGCCGUAACUAUAACGGUCCUAAGGUAGCGAAAUUCCUUGUCGGGUAAGUUCCGACCUGCACGAAUGGCGUAAUGAUGGCCAGGCUGUCUCCACCCGAGACUCAGUGAAAUUGAACUCGCUGUGAAGAUGCAGUGUACCCGCGGCAAGACGGAAAGACCCCGUGAACCUUUACUAUAGCUUGACACUGAACAUUGAGCCUUGAUGUGUAGGAUAGGUGGGAGGCUUUGAAGUGUGGACGCCAGUCUGCAUGGAGCCGACCUUGAAAUACCACCCUUUAAUGUUUGAUGUUCUAACGUGGACCCGUAAUCCGGGUUGCGGACAGUGUCUGGUGGGUAGUUUGACUGGGGCGGUCUCCUCCUAAAGAGUAACGGAGGAGCACGAAGGUUGGCUAAUCCUGGUCGGACAUCAGGAGGUUAGUGCAAUGGCAUAAGCCAGCUUGACUGCGAGCGUGACGGCGCGAGCAGGUGCGAAAGCAGGUCAUAGUGAUCCGGUGGUUCUGAAUGGAAGGGCCAUCGCUCAACGGAUAAAAGGUACUCCGGGGAUAACAGGCUGAUACCGCCCAAGAGUUCAUAUCGACGGCGGUGUUUGGCACCUCGAUGUCGGCUCAUCACAUCCUGGGGCUGAAGUAGGUCCCAAGGGUAUGGCUGUUCGCCAUUUAAAGUGGUACGCGAGCUGGGUUUAGAACGUCGUGAGACAGUUCGGUCCCUAUCUGCCGUGGGCGCUGGAGAACUGAGGGGGGCUGCUCCUAGUACGAGAGGACCGGAGUGGACGCAUCACUGGUGUUCGGGUUGUCAUGCCAAUGGCACUGCCCGGUAGCUAAAUGCGGAAGAGAUAAGUGCUGAAAGCAUCUAAGCACGAAACUUGCCCCGAGAUGAGUUCUCCCUGAGAC